rnacentral:rRNA from 1 species
GCAACAGUUCAAAUUGGCCUUGGGGUCCGAGUUGUAAUUUGCAGAGGAUGCUUUUGGCGCGGUGCCUUCCGAGUUCCCUGGAACGGGACGCCUUAGAGGGUGAGAGCCCCGUACGGUUGGACACCAAGCCUGUGUAAAGCUCCUUCGACGAGUCGAGUAGUUUGGGAAUGCUGCUCUAAAUGGGAGGUAAAUUUCUUCUAAAGCUAAAUACCGGCCAGAGACCGAUAGCGCACAAGUAGAGUGAUCGAAAGAUGAAAAGCACUUUGAAAAGAGGGUUAAAUAGCACGUGAAAUUGUUGAAAGGGAAGCGUUUACGGCCAGACCUUUUCC